GCGCUCGUGGCGGAACAUCUGGCAGACGCGCCCGGCUCAAAACCGGGUGCCCAACCGGGCAUGCAGGUUCAAAUCCUGCCGAGCGCA
rnacentral:tRNA from 3 species